GAUGAACGCUGGCGGCGUGCCUAAUACAUGCAAGUCGAGCGAACGGACGAGAAGCUUGCUUCUCUGAUGUUAGCGGCGGACGGGUGAGUAACACGUGGAUAACCUACCUAUAAGACUGGGAUAACUUCGGGAAACCGGAGCUAAUACCGGAUAAUAUUCUGAACCGCAUGGUUCAAAAGUGAAAGACGGUCUUGCUGUCACUUAUAGAUGGAUCCGCGCUGCAUUAGCUAGUUGGUAAGGUAACGGCUUACCAAGGCAACGAUGCAUAGCCGACCUGAGAGGCUGAUCGGCCACACUGGAACUGAGACACGGUCCAGACUCCUCCGGGAGGCAGCAGUAGGGAAUCUUCCGCAAUGGGCGAAAGCCUGACGGAGCAACGCCGCGUGAGUGAUGAAGGUCUUCGGAUCGUAAAACUCUGUUAUUAGGGAAGAACAUAUGUGUAAGUAACUGUGCACAUCUUGACGGUACCUAAUCAGAAAGCCACGGCUAACUACGUG
rnacentral:rRNA from 1 species